UACGAACUGUGCGAACGUUAUUCGGAAUCACUGGGCUUACAGGGUGCGUAGGCGGCCUUCCAAGUCAGGUGUGAAAUCCCCCAGCCCAACUGGGGAAUGGCGCUUGAAACUGGUCGGCUUGAGUCAGCUAGAGGUGCACGGAACUUCCGGUGGAGCGGUGAAAUGUGUUGAUAUCGGAAGGAACACCAGAGGCGAAAGCGGUGCACUGGAGCUGGUCUGACGCUGAGGCACGAAAGCCAGGGGAGCGAACGGGAUUAGAAACCCCCGUAGUCC
rnacentral:rRNA from 1 species